GACGUAGGGCGCGAGCGUUGUCCGGAUUUAUUGGGCGUAAAGAGCUCGUAGGCGGCUUGUUGCGUCAGCUGUGAAAACCCGCAGCUCAACUGUGGGCUUGCAGCUGAUACGGGCAGGCUUGAGUUCGGUAGGGGAGACUGGAAUUCCUGGUGUAGCGGUGAAAUGCGCAGAUAUCAGGAGGAACACCGGUGGCGAAGGCGGGUCUCUGGACCACUACUGACGCUGAGAAGCGAAAGCAUGGGGAGCGAACAGG
rnacentral:rRNA from 1 species